rnacentral:tRNA from 1 species
GAAAAGUUAGUUUAUUAAAAACAUUGUUUUGUCAAAACAAAAAAAUAUUAAUUUAUACUUUUUU